AGCGUACACGGUGGAUGCCCUGGCAGUCAGAGGCGAUGAAGCAGUGUGAUUCGUCACACUAUCAUUAACUGAAUCCAUAGGUUAAUGAGGCGAACCGGGGGAACUGAAACAUCUAAGUACCCCGAGGAAAAGAAAUCAACCGAGAUUCCCCCAGUAGCGGCGAGCGAACGGGGAGCAGCCCAGAGCCUGAAUCAGUGUGUGUGUUAGUGGAAGCGUCUGGAAAGGCGYGCGAUACAGGGUGACAGCCCCGUACACAAAAAUGCACAURYUGUGAGCUCGAUGAGUAGGGCGGGACACGUGGUAUCCUGUCUGAAUAUGGGGGGACCAUCCUCCAAGGCUAAAUACUCCUGACUGACCGAUAGUGAACCAGUACCGUGAGGGAAAGGCGAAAAGAACCCCGGCGAGGGGAGUGAAAAAGAACCUGAAACCGUGUACGUACAAGCAGUGGGAGCACGCUUAGGCGUGUGACUGCGUACCUUUUGUAUAAUGGGUCAGCGACUUAUAUUCUGUAGCAAGGUUAACCGAAUAGGGGAGCCGAAGGGAAACCGAGUCUUAACUGGGCGUUAAGUUGCAGGGUAUAGACCCGAAACCCGGUGAUCUAGCCAUGGGCAGGUUGAAGGUUGGGUAACACUAACUGGAGGACCGAACCGACUAAUGUUGAAAAAUUAGCGGAUGACUUGUGGCUGGGGGUGAAAGGCCAAUCAAACCGGGAGAUAGCUGGUUCUCCCCGAAAGCUAUUUAGGUAGCGCCUCGUGAAUUCAUCUCCGGGGGUAGAGCACUGUUUCGGCAAGGGGGUCAUCCCGACUUACCAACCCGAUGCAAACUGCGAAUACCGGAGAAUGUUAUCACGGGAGACACACGGCGGGUGCUAACGUCCGUCGUGAAGAGGGAAACAACCCAGACCGCCAGCUAAGGUCCCAAAGUCAUGGUUAAGUGGGAAACGAUGUGGGAAGGCCCAGACAGCCAGGAUGUUGGCUUAGAAGCAGCCAUCAUUUAAAGAAAGCGUAAUAGCUCACUGGUCGAGUCGGCCUGCGCGGAAGAUGUAACGGGGCUAAACCAUGCACCGAAGCUGCGGCAGCGACGCUGAUGCGUUGUUGGGUAGGGGAGCGUUCUGUAAGCCUGCGAAGGUGUGCUGUGAGGCAUGCUGGAGGUAUCAGAAGUGCGAAUGCUGACAUAAGUAACGAUAAAGCGGGUGAAAAGCCCGCUCGCCGGAAGACCAAGGGUUCCUGUCCAACGUUAAUCGGGGCAGGGUGAGUCGACCCCUAAGGCGAGGCCGAAAGGCGUAGUCGAUGGGAAACAGGUUAAUAUUCCUGUACUUGGUGUUACUGCGAAGGGGGGACGGAGAAGGCUAUGUUGGCCGGGCGACGGUUGUCCCGGUUUAAGCGUGUAGGCUGGUUUUCCAGGCAAAUCCGGAAAAUCAAGGCUGAGGCGUGAUGACGAGGCACUACGGUGCUGAAGCAACAAAUGCCCUGCUUCCAGGAAAAGCCUCUAAGCAUCAGGUAACAUCAAAUCGUACCCCAAACCGACACAGGUGGUCAGGUAGAGAAUACCAAGGCGCUUGAGAGAACUCGGGUGAAGGAACUAGGCAAAAUGGUGCCGUAACUUCGGGAGAAGGCACGCUGAUAUGUAGGUGAAGUCCCUCGCGGAUGGAGCUGAAAUCAGUCGAAGAUACCAGCUGGCUGCAACUGUUUAUUAAAAACACAGCACUGUGCAAACACGAAAGUGGACGUAUACGGUGUGACGCCUGCCCGGUGCCGGAAGGUUAAUUGAUGGGGUYAGCGCAAGCGAAGCUCUUGAUCGAAGCCCCGGUAAACGGCGGCCGUAACUAUAACGGUCCUAAGGUAGCGAAAUUCCUUGUCGGGUAAGUUCCGACCUGCACGAAUGGCGUAAUGAUGGCCAGGCUGUCUCCACCCGAGACUCAGUGAAAUUGAACUCGCUGUGAAGAUGCAGUGUACCCGCGGCAAGACGGAAAGACCCCGUGAACCUUUACUAUAGCUUGACACUGAACAUUGAGCCUUGAUGUGUAGGAUAGGUGGGAGGCUUKGAAGUGUGGACGCCAGUCUGCAUGGAGCCGACCUUGAAAUACCACCCUUUAAUGUUUGAUGUUCUAACGUKGACCCGURAUCCGGGUUGCGGACAGUGUCUGGUGGGUAGUUUGACUGGGGCGGUCUCCUCCUAAAGAGUAACGGAGGAGCACGAAGGUUGGCUAAUCCUGGUCGGACAUCAGGAGGUUAGUGCAAUGGCAUAAGCCAGCUUGACUGCGAGCGUGACGGCGCGAGCAGGUGCGAAAGCAGGUCAUAGUGAUCCGGUGGUUCUGAAUGGAAGGGCCAUCGCUCAACGGAUAAAAGGUACUCCGGGGAUAACAGGCUGAUACCGCCCAAGAGUUCAUAUCGACGGCGGUGUUUGGCACCUCGAUGUCGGCUCAUCACAUCCUGGGGCUGAAGUAGGUCCCAAGGGUAUGGCUGUUCGCCAUUUAAAGUGGUACGCGAGCUGGGUUUAGAACGUCGUGAGACAGUUCGGUCCCUAUCUGCCGUGGGCGCUGGAGAACUGAGGGGGGCUGCUCCUAGUACGAGAGGACCGGAGUGGACGCAUCACUGGUGUUCGGGUUGUCAUGCCAAUGGCACUGCCCGGUAGCUAAAUGCGGAAGAGAUAAGUGCUGAAAGCAUCUAAGCACGAAACUUGCCCCGAGAUGAGUUCUCCCUGACUCCUUGA
rnacentral:rRNA from 1 species